ACAUCGUAGGUUGAGGGUCUUCUCAUUUGUUAUGUUAGGUCCUAAGAAAGAAUCCUGAGCUUCUCAUGCCACUUUCGUAAGCAAACACAGAUUAAUAAACCUGAGAAUUCAUAUUAAUACAUAUUGUGGCGUUACAACAUUAUUGGUAGUACAUAUGCAGGUUGGUCAAAUUCCACAGCCUAGGGAGUGGAGUUUCAUCGAGCUGCUUGAGCCGAUAAAUCCCUCGAUGAACCACCUCUUCCAUUU
rnacentral:lncRNA from 1 species